GUCAAUCAGCUCCAGGCCCGAAUCGAGGACCAGAUGGGCAAGUUCAGCAACAAAGGAGCUCGUACUGGGAAGGGCAAGGUGGGUGGUCGAUGGAAGUAACCAGAAUGCGAAUUCAGGAAAUAGAAAGUUCCAGGAAGCAGAAAUCUGUAUGCCCUCAGAAGUAACAUGGGAGAAGCCAAUAUCAAACACUGCUGUGCAUGGUUUUGUGUUAUAUUUAUUAAAAAAAAAUAAUUCACUUGAUAUCUGCAAAGAACCUUUUUCCUUUAUGAAUGCACUUAAUUCUUGAAUGUUUUCCUUCUAAAGUUUAUCAUGCUAGUUUUCGCUAAACCUAAAUAUAUACAGUAUGUCACUUAACGCAAUAAAUCUUCCAAUGCCUUGAAAAUAAAUGUAGCGUAUUGAGAACAAAAAUACAUUUUUAUUAUUAGUGGUUCUGAUGAAAUUCCAAGUUAUGAAAAUCAUUACAAAAAAAGAAAAUGUAUGUGUGGGAGCUGUGUUAUGUAAAGUAAAACAAUAAAAUAUCUGAUACUGGAUGCUGUACCUGUG